rnacentral:rRNA from 1 species
UGAACGCUGGCGGCGUGCUUAACACAUGCAAGUUGAGCGGUAAGGCCCCUUCGGGGGUACACGAGCAGCGAACGGGUGAGUAACGCGUGGGUAAUCUACCUAGAGGUGGGGGAUAGCCUCGGGAAACCGGGGGUAAUACCGCAUGAGUUCCGAUCGACAUAAGUCGAACGGUGGAAAGGCGGGGAUCUUCGGACCUGUCGCCUCUAGAUGAGCCCGCGUCCGAUUAGCUUGUUGGUAGGGUAAUGGCCUACCAAGGCAUCGAUCGGUAGCCGGCCUGAGAGGGUGAACGGCCACAUUGGGACUGAGACACGGCCCAGACUCCUACGGGAGGCAGCAGUGGGGAAUUUUGGGCAAUGGGGGAAACCCUGACCCAGCGACGCCGCGUGGAGGAUGAAGGCCUUCGGGUUGUAAACUCCUGUCAGGUGGGAAGAAGAGCUUCGUGGCUAAUAUCCACGAGGAAUUGACGGUACCACCAAAGGAAGCCCCGGCUAACUCC